rnacentral:tmRNA from 2 species
GGGGCUGAAUUUAGCUCGACGUUGGACUUUAUCAACUAGUUUGCAGGUCGCUUGUCAGCGUUAUUGGCAAAACAAUUUUAGAUGCCAACAAAGUAUCUAACUACUUGGCGAAUGCUUACAACAGUGUAAAAGCUGCUUUUAGCACGCCAGUACUAGUUCUCGCUUAACUUAAGUUCGAGAACCGCGCCUGAACGCCACACCAGAUAAUGUUCAGUGCGUGUCAUAUCAUCUGGUUGCUCAGAUUUUACUUUCCAUAAAAUCUGCUAAGACUUAGGAAUAGGGAAUGAAGUUUUUUGGCCACUUUACAGCUUUGCUCCCAAACCAAAUUAAAUGGCCUAAACCUGUAGAGCGCUAGCUCGAUAAACCGACGGACGUGGGUGUAAUACCCACCAGCUCCACCA